rnacentral:rRNA from 1 species
AACGAACGCUGGCGGCAUGCUUAACACAUGCAAGUCGAACGAGACCUUCGGGUCUAGUGGCGCACGGGUGCGUAACGCGGGGGAACCUGCCCUUAGGUUCGGAAUAACUCCCCGAAAGGUGUGCUAAUACCGGAUAAUUUCUUCGGACCAAAGAUUUAUCGCUUUUGGAUGGGCCCGCGUUGGAUUAGCUGGUUGGUAGGGGAAAAGCCUACCAAGGCGACGAUCCAUAGCUGGUCUGAGAGGAUGAUCAGCCACACUGGGACUGAGACACGGCCCAGACUCCUACGCGGGGCAGCAGUGGGGAAUAUUGGACAAUGGGCGAAAGCCUGGUCCAGCAGUGCGGGGUGUGUGAUGAAGGCCUUAGGGUUGUAAAGCUCUUUUACCCGGGAUGAUAAUGACAGUACCGGGAGAAUAAGCUCCGGCUAACUACGUG